rnacentral:pre_miRNA from 1 species
CACUGGAGGGGGGUUCCCUCAGCUCAGAUUGCGAGAGGGCACAGGCCAGGCCGAGGGACCUCACCGGUGUGUG